rnacentral:rRNA from 1 species
AUUGAACGCUGGCGGCAUGCCUUACACAUGCAAGUCGAACGGCAGCACGGGUGCUUGCACCUGGUGGCGAGUGGCGAACGGGUGAGUAAUACAUCGGAACGUACCUUAUCGUGGGGGAUAACGCAGCGAAAGCUGUGCUAAUACCGCAUACGCCCUGAGUGGGAAAGCGGGGGAUCGCAAGACCUCGCGCGAUUAGAGCGGCCGAUGCCUGAUUAGCUUGUUGGUGGGGUAAAAGCCCACCAAGGCGACGAUCAGUAGCUGGUCUGAGAGGACGAACAGCCACACUGGGACUGAGACACGGCCCAGACUCCUACGGGAGGCAGCAGUGGGGAAUUUUGGACAAUGGGGGCAACCCUGAUCCAGCAAUGCCGCGUGAGUGAAGGAGGCCUUCGGGUUGUAAAGCUCUUUUGUCAGGGAAGAAACACCGGCUCUAACACAGUCUGGGAAUGACGGUACCUGAAGAAUAAGCACCGGCUAACUACGUGCCAGCCGCCGCAGUAA